AGUGAACGCUGGCGGUAGGCCUAACACAUGCAAGUCGAACGGCAGCACAGUAAGAGCUUGCUCUUACGGGUGGCGAGUGGCGGACGGGUGAGGAAUACAUCGGAAUCUACUUUUUCGUGGGGGAUAACGUAGGGAAACUUACGCUAAUACCGCAUACGACCUACGGGUGAAAGCAGGGGAUCUUCGGACCUUGCUCGAUUGAAUGAGCCGAUGUCGGAUUAGCUAGUUGGCGGGGUAAAGGCCCACCAAGGCGACGAUCCGUAGCUGGUCUGAGAGGAUGAUCAGCCACACUGGAACUGAGACACGGUCCAGACUCCUACGGGAGGCAGCAGUGGGGAAUAUUGGACAAUGGGCGCAAGCCUGAUCCAGCCAUACCGCGUGGGUGAAGAAGGCCUUCGGGUUGUAAAACCCUUUUGUUGGGAAAGAAAAGCAGCAGGUUAAUACCCCGCUGUUCUGACGGUACCCAAAGAAUAAGCACCGGCUAACUUCGUG
rnacentral:rRNA from 1 species